UAGGGAAUCUUCCACAAUGGACGCAAGUCUGAUGGAGUAACGCCGCGUGAGUGAAGAAGGGUUUCGGCUCGUAAAGCUCUGUUGUUAAAGAAGAACGUGGGUAAGAGUAACUGUUUACCCAGUGACGGUAUUUAACCAGAAAGCCACGGCUAACUACGUGCCAG
rnacentral:rRNA from 1 species